rnacentral:rRNA from 1 species
UACGGGGGGGGCAAGCGUUGUUCGGAAUUACUGGGCGUAAAGGGCGCGUAGGCGGUUUGCUAAGUUGAAUGUGAAAACUCUGGGCUUAACCCAGAGCCUGCAUUCAAUACUGGCAGGCUGGAGUUCUGGAGGGGAUAGCGGAAUUCCUGGUGUAGCGGUGAAAUGCGUAGAUAUCAGGAGGAACACCGGUGGCGAAGGCGGCUAUCUGGACAGAAACUGACGCUGGAUGCGCGAAAGCUAGGGUAGCAAACGGG